GGAGGAAAAGGAAUAGCAGAGCCAGCUGGGGGUUCUGGAAUGGCUUCCCUAAGGAACUGACACUGGCACUGAGAUGAUAAGCAGUUACCCAGGCAAAGACAUCCCAGUGGGAAAUGUGCCCAGCAGUGGGAUUGGUAUGUGCCAUGGGCGAACGUGGUGCUAAAGACACUGUGCAGAGGGACAUACUCACGUUUUGGGAAGACAACACUGGCUGCUCUAUGGGAACAGACCACGGAAGAAAUAGAGAGUAGCAGCGGGAGACAAUUCAGCAGCUGCUACAGCCUCCCAGGUGGAAGCACCAGUGGCAGAAUAUUAACUACCAACUCCUGGGCAAGAGGAAGAGCCAUCUGGUUCCCCUGCGCCCGUGAGAGCGAAUGUGAGGAAACAGGCUCCAGGUUCAUCACAUGGUGGUCCCAAGGCCGACUUGUGCAAGCCAGGAUGACAGGAGGACGGCGUGGGAGCACUGCUCAAUCCCGUAGCCCUUCCCUGUGGCUGAAGAUGAUCCACCUUCGCCCUGUCUCCUGAGGUCUCCGUGUUUCUGCCCUUCACGGCCCAAAUAAAGCAGCUUUUGCCUCUCUCUGGCCCUCUCCACUUUGCAGGGUGAUGAUCUCAGUUCCUUCCAUUCGCAUACACUGUUAGACUGAACCCAAAGGCUGGGAGGGCAUCUGCUGCCACCCCUGACCCUUCCACUGCCCCCAUCUCCCCCGUGAACCCCCCAGUGGGAUAGCCUAGAUGACCCAGACCUGGCUCCUGCUCUCUAGACUCUCGCUGUGCCAUAGAAAGAGAAAGGCAGAGACAUACACUAGCUCAGUAAAGUGCCACAGG
rnacentral:lncRNA from 1 species